CAAUAUAACUAUAUCAUAACUAGGUACCUACAUAAUAAUAUCUAGGGAUCUGUUUUUAAUUUAUACUUUGUUUUUUUGUUGUAGGUAUUCGGUGAUAAAUAAUUGUUUUCUUCUACUACGCCUUCAUCCUAAAUUUUUAAAGUCUACUAUCUUCGUUCUGAACUUCACUUAAUCUGAUCUCCCCCUCGUAUACUCCAGCUGUCCUUAUCAUUCUCAAUCGCAUUCAACCAUUUCCUA